UACGGGGGGGGCAAGCGUUGUUCGGAAUUACUGGGCGUAAAGGGCUCGUAGGUGGCCAACUAAGUCAGACGUGAAAUCCCUCGGCUUAACCGGGGAACUGCGUCUGAUACUGGAUGGCUUGAGUUUGGGAGAGGGACGCGGAAUUCCAGGUGUAGCGGUGAAAUGCGUAGAUAUCAGGAAGAACACCCGUGGCGAAAGCGGCUCUCCGGAACGGUACUGACGCUGAGACGCGAAAGCGUGGGGAGCAAACAGG
rnacentral:rRNA from 1 species